UACAGAGGGUGCAAGCGUUGUUCGGAAUUAUUGGGCGUAAAGCGCGUGUAGGCGGCUUGGCAAGUCGGGUGUGAAAUCCCUCAGCUCAACUGAGGAAGUGCGCCCGAAACUGCUUUGCUUGAGUGCCAGAGAGGAUGGCGGAAUUCCCCAAGUAGAGGUGAAAUUCGUAGAUAUGGGGAGGAACACCGGUGGCGAAGGCGGCCCUCUGGACGGUGACUGACGCUGAGACGCGAAAGCGUGGGGAGCAAACAGG
rnacentral:rRNA from 1 species